rnacentral:rRNA from 1 species
AUUGAACGCUGGCGGCAGGCCUAACACAUGCAAGUCGAGCGGAGCGGCGGACGGGCGAGUAAUGCCUAGGAAUCUGCCUGGUAGUGGGGGAUAACUUCCGGAAACGGGCGCUAAUACCUCAUGCUAUCCGAUUAGCCUAAGUCUGUUUAGCUAGUUGGUGGGGUAAAGGCCUACCAAGGCGACGAUCCGUAGCUGGUCUUAGAGAAUGAGCAGUCACACUGGAACUGAGACACGGUCCAGACUCCUACGGGAGGCAGCAGUGGGGAAUAUUGGACCAUGGGCGAAAGCCUGAUCCAGCCAUGCCGCGUGUGUGAAGAAGGUCUUCGGAUUGUAAAGCACUUUAAGUUGGGAGGCGUUACCAACAGAAUAAGCACCGGCUAACUUCGUGCCAGCAGCCGCGGUAAUUC